GACGAACGCUGGCGGCGUGCCUAAUACAUGCAAGUAGAACGCACAGUUUAUACCGUAGCUUGCUACACCAUAGACUGUGAGUUGCGAACGGGUGAGUAACGCGUAGGUAACCUGCCUGGUAGCGGGGGAUAACUAUUGGAAACGAUAGCUAAUACCGCAUAAUAUUGAUUAUUGCAUGAUAAUUGAUUGAAAGAUGCUAUUGCAUCACUACCAGAUGGACCUGCGUUGUAUUAGCUAGUAGGUGAGGUAACGGCUCACCUAGGCGACGAUACAUAGCCGACCUGAGAGGGUGAUCGGCCACACUGGGACUGAGACACGGCCCAGACUCCUACGGGAGGCAGCAGUAGGGAAUCUUCGGCAAUGGACGAAAGUCUGACCGAGCAACGCCGCGUGAGUGAAGAAGGUUUUCGGGUCGUAAAGCUCUGUUGUAAGAGAAGAACGGGUGUGAGAGUGGAAAGUUCACACUGUGACGGUAUCUUACCAGAAAGGGACGGCUAACUACGUG
rnacentral:rRNA from 1 species